CAGUAGCCGCGGUAAUACGAAGGGGGCUAGCGUUGUUCGGAAUCACUGGGCGUAAAGGGUGCGUAGGCGGGCAUUUAAGUCAGGGGUGAAAUCCCGAGGCUCAACCUCGGAACUGCCCUUGAUACUGAAUGUCUUGAGUCCGGAAGAGGUGAGUGGAACUGCGAGUGUAGAGGUGAAAUUCGUAGAUAUUCGCAAGAACACCGGUGGCGAAGGCGGCUCACUGGUCCGGAACUGACGCUGAGGCACGACAGCGUGGGGAGCAAACAGGAUUAGAUACCCCCGUAGUCCCUGUCUCUUAUAC
rnacentral:rRNA from 1 species